GCGGGUGUGUUGUAAUUGGUAGCCAAGCCAGACUUAGGAUCUGGUGCCUCGUGCGUAAGGGUUCGAGUCCCUUCACCCGCA
rnacentral:tRNA from 1 species